GACAGAGGGUGCAAACGUUGUUCGGAAUUACUGGGCGUAAAGCGCGUGUAGGCGGCUUUGCAAGUCGGGCGUGAAAUCCCACGGCUCAACCGUGGAAGUGCACUCGAAACUGCAGAGCUAGAGUCCUGGAGAGGAAGGUGGAAUGCUUGGUGUAGAGGUGAAAUUCGUAGAUAUCAAGCGGAACACCGGUGGCGAAGGCGGCCUUCUGGACAGUGACUGACGCUGAGACGCGAAAGCGUGGGGAGCAAACGGG
rnacentral:rRNA from 1 species